GACGAACGCUGGCGGCGUGCUUAACACAUGCAAGUCGAACGGUAAGGCCCUUCGGGGUACACGAGUGGCGAACGGGUGAGUAACACGUGGGUGAUCUGCCCUGCACUUUGGGAUAAGCCUGGGAAACUGGGUCUAAUACCGGAUAGGACACUGCGCUUCACGGUGUGUGGUGGAAAGCUUUUGCGGUGUGGGAUGGGCCCGCGGCCUAUCAGCUUGUUGGUGGGGUAAUGGCCUACCAAGGCGACGACGGGUAGCCGGCCUGAGAGGGUGACCGGCCACACUGGGACUGAGAUACGGCCCAGACUCCUACGGGAGGCAGCAGUGGGGAAUAUUGCACAAUGGGCGCAAGCCUGAUGCAGCGACGCCGCGUGAGGGAUGACGGCCUUCGGGUUGUAAACCUCUUUCAGUAGGGACGAAGCGCAAGUGACGGUACCUACAGAAGAAGGACCGGCCAACUACGUGCCAGCAGCCGCCGUAA
rnacentral:rRNA from 1 species